rnacentral:lncRNA from 1 species
CCUUUAAUAUUUUAUAUUUUUCCUUUCCGAGUUGUCAGUUCACAUGACAGUAUGACACGGUCCAUCACUUUCAUAAACCAAAAAAGUGCUAACUGUUUAAAGCUAAUAAAAAUGAUAUCAAUAAGUUGUGAAAACCAAGGCUGACCAAAGACAUGUAAUCACGUGACCCAUAGAAGUUUAGCAAAGAUUAGAAAACAAGUAGUUGACACUGAAAUUGCCACGGCCCCACCAUGCCACCAUCUGCUAAUGACAGCUAUUGUAUUAUAUAAUUAUAAGUAGCCACUAGCCACUGAAAUCACUCAGCAUCAGGUGAGACUGAUCAGUGAUGUCCAAAAAAUGGUGUAUACGCGUAAAGCGCACUCAUACCAUUCGUGUGGUAGCUUUUAUAUCAUCAUCCUUGCCCUUUAUGGUCGGUCAGCCGAGCUUUUGGAAAACGAUGUGCAAUAAAAAAAAAAUAUCAGCACAUUCAAUGGAGCUUAUUAAUCGGAAUUGUACUGUUUAAGUUAAAAAUAUAUACAUUUAUAAAGUACACAACAAAUUCUAUUAGUCAGAUUUUAUUAGAAGUCUAAAAUCAAAUAUUUGCAGUACAUUUUAAAAAACUGACUACUAACUUAAAAAAUUUGCUUCCAUAAAUAUUAGGGUAAUGAUACUUUACAUCCAAAAUUUCCCCAUGAGAGAAAUCGAAUCCUAUUAGGGGAGGGUGUGAGUUCACCAUUUGACAACUAAGCCCAAUAGCCAUCAAGGGAUCCUAUUAACGAAAUGAAAGCCUACCUUACAAUAACCAUAAGAAAUCUUCUUGUUCUUCGUUUAUUUAUUUUGAUGAAUCUUGUUCUUCUUGAUCACAAGUUUUUAUCAAAUUCUUACGCGACCUAAACUCUACAAUAAGAGUCAAAAUGAAAAGGAAACUCUUCCGAACACAUUUCAAAAAGUCAUACUUAAUUAUUAAACAUAACGCUGAAAAUUCGUGUAUAACUAUGCAGAAGAUAUAAUCGUGCAAUGAACCAAGCCAGCUUCCACAAAAACUCUGGGCCAUCGUAUUUAAUUAGUGCCGAUUUAUUGGAAAAACAAGGUCUACUCUGAAUGCAACUUUAGACGAAGACUCAAAAGAAGCCGUCUCAAAUUAUAAACGUAUAGGUUUAUCAAGUGAUCAAACAGAGUCUACAUCAGCCGAUAACGUGGAAUUAGAGCAUAAAUACCAGUAUUAUAUGAUAUUAGCCUAAUUAAUACCUCUUAAUCAAAUUCAAAGUCCAAAAUUUUGACAAUUAUUAUUGUUAUUAUUUUCACACGAUUUUGAAGGGACUCAGACCUAAAUAAAGGAAAAAGGUAUCAAGCAACUCAAAAAAUUGUAAUUUUGUGACGAUUAAAGUCACUCGUUCCUAGCAAGCUAAACUAUAAUUACUACCUGAAGAAAUUCUCUGUUUUCAGACUUACUAAGUAAUAAUAGGUAAGAUACAACUAACUUAUAAUUGACAUAAAGUUUGAACAAUUAUAACCAAAACUUUAAAUUAACAAAUUCAUGAUGGAAAAAAAUUAAGCAUACAAUUCAAAAGCAUGCCACAGACUUGGACCAGAUAUUUUUGUGGAAUAAAAGAACAACUUGCUUUUUAACAUGUUUGGCCUACUUGGAGUUGCAACUUGCUUCUAAUUUUUUAUUAUAAAAGUAUCAUGAGGAAAAGAGUUGAAAUUAUUUAUUUAUUUGAUUAUUAUUAAUUCUUUUUGAAGUGCUUAUGAGAAGACGAAACAGGACAGACAACAAGAUGGGAUUCUUUGCAAACACCGAGGAGUGACAAGAGUCGCUUCUACAUCCUAGUGAGUAGUGGGUGCAUGUACAUGAUUCCUGAAAUUUAAUACUAUACAGACCGAUUUUAUAACAAACGAAGACUAUAAUAAUAAUAUUUAAUAAAAUAAAAUACGAAUAAUUCUUUUAAAAUACCAUCAUAAAAAUUGACAUUAAAGACUGGCCGCCGCCCGUCAGAGCUCAACAUAAAUAAUAAUAAAAAGUAUGAAAACUGACAAAUAGAUUUCAAAAGUAAUGGAAUGCUCUCGGCGAAGACGGACAAAUGCACUUCGUGAUUCAUAAAAAAAAAUGUUUAAAUUAAUAAAUCAAAUUCACAUGGGAGCAUAAUUUGUUUUCUGAAAACAAAAACAAAAGGAAUCUGCAGGCAAGGGAUCCAGGACUUCCAAAUAUCACGCACAUAAUCGGAAAAAAAAAUGAAAAUCCAGAAAAGCACAGACGAUUUCCAGAAAUGAGGCUCAGAUCCGGCGCAUUGAACAUUAAAACGAAAAAAGAAACUCAAAAUUCCACAAUAUCUCAGCUGCAUUAUAUUCAAAUCUCAAUCGAAUAUCGAUCCAGAUUUUAGACGAGCUAAAAAUCUGCGCAUGACAGCGCAAAAUCAGAAGCUAACAAGAUCUCAUAAUCGAUGAAAAAUGGAGCUAGAUCUAGCCUAAAUGUUUCGCCAUUGAAUUUAAGUACACAUUUUUUCAUCUUAUAUUUACUCAAACAGAAACAGAGGAAUUAGAAAAUGCGAACGAAUAAAUAUGGAAAUUUAAGAAUUUAAAAUAAAGCAAAAUAAAUUAAUAAUAAUAAGUACCUGAAGAAGCGAAGCACUUGGACUGCAAAGAAGAAGAAAAUGAGAGACCUCACUUUCUCUCCCUCUCUCUUUCUCGCCUUCGCCGGCCGCGUUGUGAGUUGUAAACGUUCGGCUCUCU